AUGAGGACACGGUUAAAGGAUAGAACUGAUUUGUUUGACUGGAAUCCACCGCGAUCUGUGAGGAUCAGAGGGAAAAUUUCCGUUCACAACUUCACACUAAGACAGCAAGUAUCGCCAAAGAAGGAAUGUUGUGGAACAUCUCCCCACGACACGGAUCUGAGAGCGCAUGCUGAGCAUCACGCUUCCGCGAGACGCUGGUUGACGCUCGAGGAAGGUGAUUUCGCUGCACCCCAAGUGGACGAGCUUGUUUUUUCGGAGCCCCAGUGCCAACUGUAGCCUUGCUCCCGUCGGGGCUGCGACACAGUCAGUGCUGCACAGGUCUGGAGUUGCCUCACGGGACCUUUCCCGAGUUCUGGACCAGAUGUUGCCCUACCAAACACGGGGCCGUAAGGAGAGAGGGGUACUGCCUCACCCUGAAUGCCUGAGAGAAGAGGUGCCUUCUGCAGCAGACCAUCAACGGCCUUUCACUCCAGCUGCCUCGCCCGGCCAAUCCGACUUUACAGCAUUGAACCAAUGUCCAGUGACAUAGCCCGGGACUUGUUCCACCCGACCAACGGACAAAACCGGAUCCGCUUUACAGUGCCUGAUCAGCGUUCAGUGACGUAGCCUGGGAUUACUCUGCUAGACCACGCGACCAACACACAUGGCAGCAUUCACGCUACUUGAUGAACAGAGAUACAUCUGAACCUGUUUCAAGAGACCGAUGGACAUAACUGGACCCACACUUGCAGAGGAAUGGACAUAGCCAGAUCCCCUGUACCUGGAAAAUGGACAUAUCUGGACCUACGCUUUCUGGUCAUAGAUAUCGUCUCUACUUUUGACCGUUGGAAGUGAGUCCACUCUCCCUGACCAGUGGACAAAGCCAGACCCACUGUCACUGACCAGUGUUAACAGGACUCUCUUUCCCAAUUCGGCCCUAUCACGGAGGGGAGGGGGGUCUUUCCCCUUGGAUCAAAGGCCUUCAGUGCUGUACUGACCACUGCCCUUGCUCUGUAUUCUGUGUCCCAUCAGUGUUCCCCUGCCAUUGUCCUGACCACGCAAUGUGCAGCCUGUGAGCAGAGAGACGCCCCAGUCCUGCUUGGCCCAUCUACUGCAGUGUAACCGCGUGCUCUUGUCUUUAAUGUGAAUUCAUAAACAGAUCAGCGUACAAAAUUCCCUUGGCCUUGAUUCCCUUGAUUUGCUCAUCGUCCUUCAUUUUCUAGUGGCUAACAGGGCAGCGGGUGCUGAUGCACGGAGAGGUUCCUAGUGCGAAAUGUGCGCAGUAGCCAAGAAGUUUAACAAACACUUUGCU
rnacentral:lncRNA from 1 species